rnacentral:rRNA from 1 species
UACAGAGGUCCCAAGCGUUGUUCGGAUUCACUGGGCGUAAAGGGUGCGUAGGUGGUCGGGUAAGUCUGAUGUGAAAUCUCCGAGCUUAACUCGGAAACUGCAUCGGAUACUAUUUGGCUAGAGGGUUGGAGGGGGGACUGGAAUACUUGGUGUAGCAGUGAAAUGCGUAGAUAUCAAGUGGAACACCAGUGGCGAAGGCGAGUCCCUGGACAACUCCUGACACUGAGGCACGAAAGCUAGGGGAGCAAACAGG